AUAUCUUUCUCGGCUUUUGGCAAAGAUCAAGUGUAGUAUCUGUUUUUAUUAGUUUAACUAGUUUUUUUACGAGCAUUGCGCGAUUGAGAUAAUGUCCAAUGUUU
rnacentral:snRNA from 1 species